GCCGGAAUUGCUAGUAAUGGCAGGUCAGCAUACUGCCGUGAAUACGUUCCCGGGCCUUGUACACACCGCCCGUCACACCAUGAGAGUUGGGGAUACCCGAAGCCUGUGAGCUAACUUAUAGAGGCAGCAGUCGAAGGUAGAAUCAAUGAUUGGGGUGAAGUCGUAACAAGGUAUC
rnacentral:rRNA from 1 species